rnacentral:rRNA from 1 species
GAUGAACGCUGGCGGGGGCUUAACACAUGCAAGUCGAACGAGAAAUGUUAUUAUGAUCUCUUCGGAGUGAUGAUUUUAUUUCGAGUGCGGACGGGUGAGUAACGCGUGAGCAACCUGCCCUAUACCGGGGGAUACCAGUUGGAAACGACUGUUAAUACCGCAUAAGCGCACGAUAAGACAUCUUGUUGUGUGAAAAACUCCGGUGGUAUAGGAGGGCUGGUAUGAUUAGCCAGUUGGCGGGGUAAAGGCCCACCAAAGCGACGAUCAUUAGCCGACCUGAGAGGGCGACCGGCCACAUUGGGACUGAGACACGGCCCAAACUCCUACGGGAGGCAGCAGUGGGGAAUAUUGCACAAUGGGCGAAAGCCUGAUGCAGCGACGCCGCGUGAGUGAGGAAGUAUUUCGGUAUGUAAAGCU